rnacentral:miRNA from 7 species
UUGUGGCCCUCUGCUGGACUCUUUCCAGGAGAUGCUUGCCCUUUUUAUACUGGGGAGCCCAGAGCUGGUCACAGUACCUCCAG